rnacentral:lncRNA from 1 species
CCUUAAUUAAGUCUAUUUUUUUUUUUUUUUUUUUUUUUUGCAUGGAAAAUUUGUCACCUGGGUUUGUCUUAGGUAAAUGUACAGGUCUGUGGAAAACCAAUCAGAACAUGAGCUUGUCUCCAUGCCAUUGAUGCUCCUGCGGAGGUGGUGAGUGCUUCCAAAACCCAUAAGAAAGUCUGUGAGAAGAAUGGCGAGCACUGACCCCACAAGAUGACACAGUGCUGAAGGACAGGAACCCUCCAUGCCCAGGGAAAGCAGCAUUGUGACAGGAAGCAGAGUGGCUGUGGUGGGCAGACCAAGUUGAUUUUCCAGAAAAAGACUAAAACUCCUAGGAAGAUUGUAUUGGGUUGAGUGUGCCAAGCCCAAAGGCAGACCUAUGAGAACACUGGUUCUUAAGAGAUGCGAGCUUUAUGACCGGGAGCAGAUAGGAGGAGAUGGGCUCGAGGAAUCAUCUUGAAGCUAUGCUAAAAAGAAAAAAAAAGUUUGAAAAUGACUUGUAUACAGGACACAGGUGACCAUCAGUAUCCAGUGGUUCCCCUGCUGGGGAGCACUAAGGCUCUGGAUUUAAGGAAAUCAUCUGGGAGAAUCAGAGAUGUUGUCAUGGUAACCAUGUAAACUAUCCAGGCUCUAUUAUUUUGAGACAUGUUUCUUGGGAAACUAUACCUCUAGUGUUAAUAGGAUGGGACCUUUACUGAUAAUAAUAGUUAGCAUGGGUUGGGUGUUCACAGGGUACUGUGCAUGGUUCUCUGUGCUUUGCCUGUAUUAACUCAUAAUCCUUAUAAGUCUAAGAUGAUGCUGUAUUUUAUUUCUUCUCAUUUUAAAAUCAGGAAGAUCUGAUGCACAGAGAAGAGAAUAACUUGACUUUAAUUCAAGUGGCUUGAAAAUAGUAGAAUUAAGAUUGAAUCUAGGCUGGAAUUGUGGCUCAGUGGUAGAGUACUUGCCUUGCUUGUGUGAGGCACUGGGUUUAAUUCUCAGCACUGCCUAUAAACAAGUGAAUAAAAUAAAGGUCCAUCCACAAUUUAAAAAAUUAAAAAAGAAUAAAGAUAGACUCUGGCUUUGGAGUGCAUGCACUUCAUCCCCACCUUGUGUACUGCCCUCUGUGCCAUUGAUUAGGGAUCAUAGGAAAAAUUAUAUUUUACUCACAGUAGGCAACUCUUCAUUGAGCUAUCCUCCUAAGAUACAGUACUUUCUUUCUUUUGUAAUUUAAUUGGUAGUUUUAUUUUAUUGAAUACACACCUUCUUUUCUAACAUCGAACCUGUGACUUCUGUUGAGGCAAAAGGUGUGUGAGGGCAGCAGCUUCACAAAACCAGAAAGUCAUAAAAAGAAAAUGGCAAAGAAAUGAAGUUACCCCUACCUCACACCAUAUACAAAUUAGCUCAAAAUGGAUCAAUGACUGAAAUGUAAGAGAUGAAACUAAAUCCUUAGAUAAAAAAGAGGCAUAAAUCUUUGUGACCUGAGGCUAGGUAGUGGUUAUACACACACACACACACACACACACACACACCCCACAUAGGAAAAAUAAAUUAGAUUUCAAAAUCACCUGUACUUCCAAAGAUAUUCUCAAGAAAGUGAAAUGACUACUCAAAGAAUGCAAAAAAAUAUCUGCAGACCAUAUAUCUGAUAAAGGAUUUGUGUCCCAAAUAGAUACAGGAUUUCUAAACUCGAUAAUUAAAAGGCAGAUAGUCCAAUUAAAAAUAGGCAAAAGAUUUGGAUAGUUCUCCAAAGAAAAUGUUAAAAAACACACUAAAAGAGGUCCAACAUCAGUACUCAUUAGGGAAAUGCAAAUUAAAAUUGCUGUGAGGUACCACUAUAUAGCUACUAGAAUGGAUGAGGUAAAGAAGGUGGACCAUAACAAGUGUUGGAGAGAAUGUGGAGAAAUUGGAACCUUUGCCCUUUGCUGUUAGGAAUAUAAAAUGGUGUAGCUAUUUUGGGAUAUGGUAUGGCAGUUCCUCAAAAAGUGAAUGAAACAGAGUUACCAUAUGAUCCAUCAAUCUACUCCUUGCUAUAUACCCCUUCAUUAAAAACAUAUGUCCAUAAAAGAACCCAUACACAAAUGCUCAUAGCAGUGUUAUGCACAAUAAUUAUAAAGUGGAAACAAUUCAAAUGUCUGCUGACUGAUGAAUGGGUAAACAAAUUUGGCAUGUCUAUACAAUAGAAUAUUAUUCACUCAUAAAAUGGAAUGAAAUAUUGAUACAUACUGAAAAGUGAUAAAUUUUGAAAAUAUUCCAUGAAAGAAACCCAGUAGUAAGGCCCCAUGCUAUAUGACUCCACUGGUAUGAAAAAUCCAAGACAGGCAAAUCCAUAGAGACAGAAUGUAGAUUAGUGGUCAGCAGAGGCUCUUGGAGAAAGGCGAGAAUGGAGAAUGAUUGCCAAUGCAUACUGGGUUUCUUUUAAGGAUGAUGAAAGUGUUCUGGAAUUAUAUGGUAGUCUGGGCUACACCACUUUGAGAAUAUACUAACACCUAUGGAAUUAUGUGGUUUAGGUGAAUUUUAUAGGAUUAGGAUUCCACUCAAUAUAAAUAGAUACAUACAUGCAUACAUACCAAAAAAAAGAAGAUGGUGCCUAAGUGCAAUAGCUGGAAAUCUUACCAACUUCAUUUUGGAGAUAGGUACCAACAGGAGCUGGGACCCAGGUCCUUGCCAAAUGAAUUUCUUUUUCUUUUUUAUUUCUUAUUUCCUCUCUCGAACUUUGUGGAUUGAAGAAAUGCAUAGUUCAGUGGGGAGGAAAGAGGAUGGUGUUUUUAUUUGAAUAUUGAAGUCUUGCUUCAUGGUCUGCAUACACACCAGAGCUCCAUGUGUAUAACAAAGUAACAAUGGUUAGAAAUGUUUCUCUCCAUACUUUUAGUUUUAGGCUGUGCUGUGCUUUUCUUUCUCUUUUUUUGUUACUUCUGGGUAUUUAGUUAUUUUUAUAGAGAAAGUCCUCAUAGUAAACACAGUAAAAGUCCCCUGAGACCUAACUGUGGAAGAUACAUAGUGUCCUUUCUGUCUGGUUUUAAUAUUAGGGAAAGGCUGACUUCAUAGAAUGAGUUAGAAAGUAUCCCUUUUAUUUUUUGAAGG